GGGGCAGGAUUUCAAUUGCUUUUGAAAUGAUGAGGCCAGUAUUUAUGCUUCCUUUUCUAGAUUAAAUUGCAAAAGGCAAAUGGAGAAAUAAUAGGUCUCCCAUCUGGUCCACUCCCUGAUGACCUGCCACCGAAAGAGGAAGGAAAGAGCACUGUCUAUGUACCUGUGUCUAUCAUCAAUGCUAUAAUGAGGUUGUUGCGUGACACCUUCAAGUUUGCUAUUACCGAAAUCAAGGGUUCCAUUCUUACAACUGACCAGCUAAACAAAAUAUGUCCAGAGGCUGGCCUGCCUGCUGGAAAGCAAGUGAAAGUUGUAGUAACACAGAACGAUAAUCUCCGGUGUACUGUGUUGCCUGCUGCAAGCAACCUGACACUCCCUUGCAGAGCAGCGUUCUU